CCGUGAGGGAUGAAUGCCUUCGGGUUGUAAACCUCUUUCAAGCAGGGACGAUAAUGACGGUACCUGCAGAAGAACGCUCCGGCCAAACUACGUGC
rnacentral:rRNA from 1 species